UUUGGGGUCCCAAAUUUGACUUUUUGGGGUUUUUUUCCUAUUUCUGCUCCUUGCUGGCAGCGCAGUAGAGCUCCAGGGGUUCGGAUUUUGGGGUUUUUUUGGGUUUUUUUGGGUUUUUUUGGGUUUUUUUCCUAUUUCUGCUCCUUGCUGGGCGCGCAGUAAAGCUCCGGGGGUUUGGAUUUUGGGGUUUUUUGGGGUCCCCAAUGUGAAUUUUGGGGUCCCCAAUUCAGAUUUUGGGGAUUUUUGGGGUCCCCAAUUCAGAUUUUGGGUUUUUUUGGGUUCCCAAAUUUGAAUUUUUGGUUUUUAUUUGGGUUUUUUUUCCUAUUUCUGCUCCUUG
rnacentral:lncRNA from 12 species